rnacentral:rRNA from 1 species
UACGUAGGGUGCAAGCGUUGUCCGGAAUUAUUGGGCGUAAGAGCUCGUAGGCGGUUUGUCGCGUCUGUCGUGAAAGCCCACGGCUUAACCGUGGGUCUGCGGUGGAUACGGGCAGACUAGAGGCAGGUAGGGGGAGAAUGGAAUUCCCGGUGUAGCGGUGAAAUGCGCAGAUAUCGGGAGGAACACCGGUGGCGAAGGCGGUUCUCUGGCCUGUACUGACGCUGAGGAGCGAAAGCG